AACGAACGCUGGCGGCAUGCCUAACACAUGCAAGUCGAACGAGACCUUCGGGUCUAGUGGCGCACGGGUGCGUAACGCGUGGGAACCUGCCCUUAGGUUCGGAAUAACUCCCCUAAAGGGGUGCUAAUACCGGUUAAUGUCUUCGGACCAAAGAUUUAUCGCCUUUGGAUGGGCCCGCGUUGGAUUAGCUAGUUGGUAGGGUAAAAGCCUACCAAGGCGACGUUCCAUAGCUGGUCUGAGAGGAUGAUCAGCCACACUGGGACUGAGACACGGCCCAGACUCCUACGGGAGGCAGCAGUGGGGAAUAUUAGACAAUGGGCGAAAGCCUGAUCCAGCAAUGCCGCGGGAGUGAUGAAGGCCUUAGGGUUGUAAAGCUCUUUUACCCGGGAUGAUAAUGACAGUACCGGGAGAAUAAGCUCCGGCUAACUCCGUG
rnacentral:rRNA from 1 species